AAUAAAUUUUUUGAAAUUGCUUUUAAACAUGGUUCACCGAUGAUGCUCUAAAUGUGUUUAGUGUACUUGCAGCUUUUGCUAAAACACAAUCACAGUAAACAUGUCUAAGCCGUUAUUAUACAUCUUCUUCCAUGUUAUAGUUUUGGUAAUGUUUCAGUUAUACUUUUCUGAAGCAACUUCUAAAACACAAGUGAUCAAUAAUCUUCAUAAGCAUAUGAGGAAUAUUGCAAAGUUGUCAGUAAAACUGGAUAAUGAUUUGGCAACUGCUUUAAAGGACUUUAAGAAUAAAUUAGCCAACUUACCAGCAGUGGCUGCUAAGGAAUUAAAUGGAAUUCUAAUACCGUUAUAUUUAAUUGCCUAUAGAGUAAUACAAGAUGCAGAAGAGGCAGGAAAUGAUCUUAGUAGUUGUUCCAGCCCUGUCGACAAGUUUUUCACGAUCGAAAGUUUAACAAUGGGAGGUGAAUUUCUCAGUUGCGUCACUGAACAAAUUGCAUCUUUUCAAAAACUGAAGAUGUCCGCACACUCGAAAGUGAACAAAUUGGAAAAGGAAUUACUUGCUUUAGAAGCUAAACCGUUCGCUUGCUCGGGAAAUUAUAUAGAAGAAUACAAAUGCUACGAAGAACUAAAUAUAAUAAUAAAAAAAUUAUCAACUACACAACUUCAGAUCUUUGCAGGUAUUUUUGUUAAAGUUCAAACAGCAAUUGAUACUAUUAAUAAUAAUCUAAGCUGGUGUGUUAAUAAUAAAAUUACCAAAGUCGGGACUACUGCUUCCGAUACAUAUUUUCAUGAAUUUAUUCUUUGUGCAGCCAUGAUUGGAGUACCGUAAUUUUGCUAUUCUUUGAUAUUAAUAAAAUGUGGUUUUAACGUUAAA